ensembl:lncRNA
CCCAGCUGUCUUGGGCAGGGGCAAUUCUCGGCUCCUUCCUCCCACAGCUGGCCUGCUCCAGUUGAAGUCACGGAUCCCUUCUCUACUUCCCCGGGUGAAUCAGUGGGGAGCACAUGAUCUGAAAUGCUCUUUCCUGGGACCUUGACUCUGGCAAGGACAAGGGAGUGGUUUCUGGCCAUUCUUCUCGUGGCAAUAUCAGUUGUGAAACCAUCCGUAGCCUCCUCACCUCUGUCUGGUAAAGUUUACUGUCAGACGUCACCCACUAGAAGGUAAGCUGAAUGAGGACAGAGCCUCGUGCUCACCUGAGUUCCCGCUGCCUUCCGCAGUGUCUAGCACCCCCUUUGCACACUCUUCAGUGAUAAAACCAGGACCAUAUAACCACCUGGAGAGCACAUGUCUAGAAUCAUGAUGUACCAACAGUAACAAAUCAAGUCCAUGGCACACUUACACCAGGAAGAUGGUGCAGCAAUUUAAAGGAAUAAGGUGCCUGUCAAUAUUCUCAGGGAAGCUGAAGAGGGCUACGUCCAUGAUGCUGUGCCCAUGAUGCCAUGCUGUGCCUGUGAUGCUGUGCCUGUGAUGCUGUGCCUGUGACACUGUGUUGCGCCCAUGAUGCUGUGCCCAUGAUGCCGUGUUGUGCCCAUGAUGCUGUGCUCAUGAUGCCAUGCUGCGCCUGUGAUGCUGUGCCCAUGAUGCUGUGUUGCGUCCAUGAUGCUGUGCCUGUGAUGCUGUGCCCAUGAUGCCAUGCUGCGCCCAUGAUGCCAUGCUGUGCCCUCUAUACCUUGCCGUGCCUGAGAGGCCAUGCCCUUUCCCUGAGAUUCUGCAGUUCUGGCUGCUCCAGGAGCCAAGGAGAUUCCACCCCAUAUAAAAUGCUCCUGGGGUGGCCUACUGACCUGGAUUCUCGUCUCCGUAUCCUGACUCCAACUGCCUCUGCUGCCAAACUACACAUGGCCCAGAUGAUUUCUCCCGCAAAUGGAAGAGGGAAUCAGAGCAUCUCACAGUCAGGGCAGAGGCCCCGGGGGAGACGCCCAUCCGAGGCAUGUUUGGGAUGACUGAUCCCGUCCAAGCCCAUGGUUGCGCAGACUGGAAAUCUGACUCUCAGAGUGGAGAAGAGAUUUGUCCGAAUGUGAGUUCAGUGCCAGAGUGAGACUCCAACUUGAUUCCCAGUUUAGAGCUCACUUUAGGAGGGGGUUCCCAAAAGUUCCUUCAUCUUAGCUACCCCUUUAUGUUGAGAUCCUGGGUCUCCAAAAUGUCCCGAUUACAAUGCAUAUCUAUUACUUAAAUAACACCCAGUAACGUAGUUUAGCGCCCAGUAACAUAGUUUAUCAGAGGAGCUGGUUUUUAGUAUAGAAAGCAGAUAGCAAGUUACACUUUAUUUUAUUUAUUACAGAAACAGAAUUUUAGGGCCUGGCUCCGUGGCCAAGUGGCUAAAGUUCUGCGCACUCCGCAUCGGUGGCCCAGGUUCGCUGGUUGGGAUCCCGGGUGUGAAACCUACUCCACUCAUUAGCCAGGUUUGGAGGUGUCCCACAUACAAAAUAGAGGAAGAUUGGCACAGAUGUUAGCUCAGGGCUGGUCUUCCUCAAGCAAAAAAAGAGAGGAGGAUUGGCAAUGGAGGAUAGCUCAGGGCAAAACUUCCUCAGCAAAAAAAAAAAAAUUGUAACAACUCCGAUGAAAAUAUUAAAACAAAUUAUUUCUGCCAUCCUAAUUGUGUUUCUUUUGUUCACAUUUCUUAUGUCGCUCUAACAUAC